rnacentral:tRNA from 1 species
GGGCCCGUGGCCUAGCCAGGAUAGGGCGGCGAAAUAUCCGUAUGCCUGCGGAGCCGCAGGACCCGGGUUCAAAUCCCGGCGGGCCCA